GUGCUUGCUCAGCAGCACAUAUACUAAAAUGGAAGGAUACAGAGAUGAUUAGCAUGGCCCUGGAACAAGGAUAACAACAAAUUUAUGAAGUGUUUCAGUUUUUU
ensembl:snRNA U6 U6 spliceosomal RNA